rnacentral:lncRNA from 1 species
CCGCCUCAUACGGCUCGGCAAUCAAUUCUUUUGGUGUCCGGGUUUUUGAAUCUAGUAUAUCGAAUUGAAUGAGAUUUCUCAUAGAUCGAUCUUUAUCUUUAUUCUUUUUUUUGGGGGGUUAACCAAAAGAGGUUAAUUCCAUGAGCAUGAGUUUCAACUUGACUUUUGAUUAAAUUAAUAAUCAGCUUUGCUUUCAUUUUAUCUUUUCUCCCACCGUCAGAAGAAUACAUAGAAGCAUUUCCACUAUAGUUAGAAUUUUCUGAAAGGUAUCUAUCUCGGUUUCAUAUAAAAAUUGAUAUAGAAUCUUUGAAAAAGCCUUUCUUCCUAAGAAAGAAAAGGCUUACUGUCUUUGGGAUCUGAUGCUACACCGCUGCUCAUACCUUAGGGGAUCGACUUUAUUACAUAAGUGGAUUCCUUACUUUUAUCUCAUAUCAUGACAUAAAUAAGCAGUUCUUAUUGGAUCGGCAUCGGCCCAAAACCUCGCGAAUUGAUCUUUACGGUGCUUCCUCUAUCAAUUAGAUCCUUUAUCCAUAGAAUAACUAUCUAGGCAUAUCGAUUUCUUCAUAUUUCGACUUCUAUGAAGUUUCUUUCUUUGCUACAGCUGAUAAAAUCGUUUUUGCACGAUGCAUAUGUAGAAGCCUAUUUUUUUUUUUUCGAGUAUUUAUUAGUGUAUUUGCUCUUUACCCCCUCCUUUUUUUUUUUCUUUUACUUUUUUCUUUCUAUAGUAGAGAUAGUCGCACGUAAUGACAGAUCACAGCCAUAUUAUUAAAGUUGUGGUAAGAACGGAUUUCGUUCUAGUGCCCGAAAAUAAUAUUCUAAGUUUUGUAUGUUCUCCGUUACUUGUGUGGAUAAGGCUAUGUUAUAGAGUAUAUAGCUUCGAUCGUAAGGAUCAAUUUCUAGUCGCAUAGCUUCAUAAUAAUUCUGUAAAGCUUCCGCAUAAUUGCUUCAGAUUGAGCUGACAUCCGUUACGGUCGUCAUUCGAUUCAAAGAAUUCUCCGUUUCAAACCGUACAUGAGAUGAAAAUCUCAUACGGCUCCUCCUUUAUGUGCAUUAUGAGAAUAAUCCAUGAAAUCAAAAAGAUUGAAAUAUUCUCAUUAUGAACUAAGUGGGGCUAAUGUUUUUACAAGAAAUCUCUAGCCAACCUUCCUGCAAAGCUUUUUUCUUAAUAUCACGCGUGUUGGUACUAGAUAAAACCGGAAACUCCAACAAUUUCUUUGUUCUCAACGCCCUUAAUUUACAGGAAUUAAUCACUUCAACAGUCUUCGAUGGUUAUACGGGUAUCCACAGUACGAACGAGAUGGAUGUUUGUUAUCCCAACCAUUCUUCUUAGUCCGAUCCCGCUAAGGAAAGGGGCAGCUUAUAACAAAGUUUUCGUGUUGCUGAUUCCUAGACGUAGCGCCUCUUCCCCUAUGCGCCUAUUGGUACUGGUGUAGUAGGGUUGACUUGCAAUACAGACCAUAGGUGUAACCUUUCGCUCAUACUAGAUCGACAUUGAGCAUCUGAGGCUGCAUUAAUCGGGGAUACACGACAGAAGGAAUGGUUUUAUCUAUAACUUCACCUUCACAGCGUAGAUUUUUUCAAUAAUCUUUUUUUUUUUUUUUUUCUAUCCGAAUUGUCUUUCUUUCUUCUAAGACCGAAAGGGGUAAUAAAACUAAUCAAAUCGCACCAUCUCUGUAAUAGGUAAAUGCCUCUUUUUCUCUACAGUUGUCGGAAUUAUUCGUAAUAAUAUAUUGGCUACAAUCGAAAAGGUCUUAUCAAUAAAUUUCCGUUUAUCCGCGAUCUAGGCAUAGGUAAAAUCCAUUCUAUAAUUCGUUUCAUUACCUCUUGUGAGAAAUGAUCCACAAACAAAGGAAUUGUACAGUACAAAUAACAUAAAGCAGACGUGUUAAAAAAUAAAAAAAAAAAUAGACGAUCGUUGAUUCGUUCCAACUCAUUGAUUAAAUCAGGUAGAAAUAUCAGAAAAAAAAAAAAAAGGAGCGCCAUCUUUGCAACAAGAUAUAUAGCCUUAUUGUUUUUUGUUUUGAACAGUUUUUCACAAACAAAAAGUUAUCCUUUUCCCAGACUCAAAGGAAGAAUUUUUUCUUUGCUGAAAGGGUUUCUAUUUUUCUAGUUAGAACGGAUUCGAUUGUCCGUACCAUCUACCAAUCGAAUUUGAACAACUCGCUAUUCACGCGGGUUCUCGGUCAUAAUCAUUGUGUAGGAGAGAUGGCCGAGUGGUUCAAGGCGUAGCAUUGGAACUGCUAUGUAGACUUUUGUUUACCGGGGGUUCGAAUCCUCUCUUUCCGUACCUUGAACUAAUUCAUCAAUGUUACUGACGGAAUGUAUCCAAGCAAAAAGAAUGAAUACCGAAGCAGUCAGACCUUUUUUUGAGCUAGAUUCUCAUUCCUACGGGAAAGAAGGGAAGGGGCAGGCAGGGGAUAAAAUCUACCCUCGGAUCUAUGAUACAUGAAUGGGAUAAAAAAAACUCCACGGAUCAACUCCUUACUUGUAUCCUUUCUUAAGUUAGGUGAAAGGGUAAAUUUGUACGAGCCGUUAUUUUAGUUAGGUUUAAGUUUGACGAGAAUAAUAUUCUACGACAAGCAUUCAUUUAUUUUCAAACCGACCCAUUGACUAUCUAUUAUUUGAUUGACUAAUCCUUUAUAUUGGAAUGCGCGAAGAGUCAAUGCUUUGGCAAUUCCUCAUGGUGGGAUGAAUCAAGAUAAUUUUGAACCAGAGAUCUAGAUUUUGGGUCAUCCUUACUGUAAUAAUAUCUCGGGGUUUGCAACGAUAACUUGGUAUAUCGACUAUACGACAUUAACUAAAUAUGUCGAUGGUUAACCAAUUGGCGGCUUGAGGAAUAGUUGAAGCCAUACCCAAUCGAAAAAGAAUGUUAUCCAAACGCAUUUCAAGUAAUUGUAGUAAACCAGACCGGUUGACCUUUGGCUUUUCUGGCGAUACGAACAUAUUUAAGUAAUUGUCGUUCUGUAGACCAUAAUGAAAACGCAAUUUUUGUUUUUCUUCUAAACGAAUUCGAUAUUGAGAUUUUUUACGGAGCGCAAUUGGUUUCUAAAAUCGCUUCCGGCUCUAGGCCUUUUACUCGUUAGUCCGGCAAAGCCCCAGACGGCGUAUUUUUUUGAAACGAGGCCUCGGUAACGUGACAUAAGACUCCUUAUUUUAUUGAAUUUCAUAAACCUAAAUUAAAACUGAGCUACAUGAUAAAUGAAGCAAAAUCCGCUGAAGUAUUGUACUACAAGAAUACUAAGAUGAUUUGUAUCAAUUCCAGACCCUUUUUGUAUUGUAUACGCAUAUAGAAAUAUAAAUCAAAAGAGGGUUCCUUUUCUUGAUUUAUUCUGCCGAAAUCGAACUUCUCCAACUUUUAUUCAUAUUGGAAGCUCUACACAUACUGGAUCGAUGAUCCUUGGAAGAAGCCUUUUCAAUGUUCUUUUCUUUCAAAAGACAUUAUCAAUCAUGUAAAAAUCAAACAAUAGAGAAAAGCCGGCUAUCGGAAUCGAACCGAUGACCAUCGCAUUACAAAUGCGAUGCUCUAACCUCUGAGCUAAGCGGGCUUAAAUAAGAGAAAUUGUACAUGCGUAGGGAUCCUAGGAUCUUAUCUAUUAACCUUUUAUUCUUAGCUAUUCAUAAAGAAUAAAUAGAGAAUCGAAUUUCAAUAAAUGUUGAAUACUAUAGAUAUAGAACAUAACGAUUAAUCUAACAAUUACGAGAAUCUAGUGAUGAUAUAUAUUAGCGAUUUGGAUUUUUUUAUCAAUUCUAUAUUGAUCAACAAUAAUAUCUUACUCUUAAUUAGAUAAUAAAAUACGAUUUGAUUUAUUUAUUAUUUUUUUUUUUUUCAUUUUUGAUUCAAGACAUUUAAAUUAUUUUUUUGUUUCUAACCUAAGAUUCUUAAUAUAUUCUAUUCGAUUAUUCUAUAUUAUAGAAUAUACAUAAUAUUCGAUUAUUAUUCUAUAUUCUAUAUAUAUUUAGUUAUUCUAAAUCGAAUAUUAUAUUCGAUUCUUAUUAUCCAUUUUCGAAAUUCUAAAUUUGCUCUAUUCUAAUUCGAAUAAUUAGGCUUUAGACUAAUAAUUAGAAUUAUCUUCGAAUUCUAAUUUAAUUGACUGAGUAGUUAUAGCUAUUCUAUUGAUUAGGUCUAGCUAUUAUAUUCUAAAUGAUUAAUAAAAAUGAUUUAUUUUUAUUUAAUAAAUUGAAAUUGGAAUUUGAGUUAUUUUUGGUUAUGUUAUAUAGGUUCUUCCUUAAGGAAAGGGCAAGUAUAAAUAGAAAAUGAAAUGAAAGAGAAAGAUACAAUCCCGCUAAAUGGAAUCUGGAUUAGAAUGAGACAUUUUUGUUUUCAUUCGAAAAGGGGCGUAAGAAAAACGAAAAAAUAAAUCGACCGUUCGAGUAUUCGCCGGAUUGCACGAAAAAUGAGAGUAAGGGGGGCAUAUAUAUUUUAUGGUAGUUUAUAUCCAUCUAUAUUGAAUUGCGGAUACAGAAAAGAUAGAAUCAUUUCUGAAAGAAGCAAAACACCUUUCGAUAUAUAUAAAUCCAUAUCUACGGAAUUCUACUGUUUCCGCAGAAAUGAAAGAAAGGGGGAACAGCAUUGAGUUCCUAAAACACAAAGGGAUAUGGCGAAAUUGGUAGACGCUACGGACUUAAUUGGAUUGAGCCUUAGUAUGGAAACUUACUAAGUGAUAACUUUCAAAUUCAGAGAAACCAGGAAUUAAAAUGGGUAAUCCUGAGCCAAAUCCUCUUCUCUUUUCCAAGAACAACAGGGGUUCAGAAAGCGAAAAAGGGGAUAGGUGCAGAGACUCAAUGGAAGCUGUUCUAACAAAUGGAGUUGACUGCCCUUUUUGGUAAAGAAAAGAAAGUCAAAUGAAUGCUUCUAUCGAAUAUCGAACUCGAUAAAGGAUGAAGGAUAAGGGUAUAUAGACUAUGUAUACGCAGCGAAAAACUAACUCAAAAAUCACAACCAAAUACGUAUUUCUUUUUAUGAAAAAGAAAAGAAUUGUUAUUGUUAUGAAUCGAUUCUAAGUUGAAGAAAGAAUCGAAUAUUCCCGGCUCAAAUCAUUCACUCACCUCCAUGGUCUGAUCGAUCCUUUCUUUUGACUUUUGAAGAACUGAUUAAUCGGACGAGAAUAAAGAUAGAGUCCCAUUCUACAUGUCAAUAUCAAUACGGGCAACAAUGAAAUUUAGAGUAAAAGGAAAUCCGUCGACUUUAGAAAUCGUGAGGGUUCAAGUCCCUCUAUCCCACCCCAAAAAGGCCUAUUGACUCCCUAACCAUUUCUCCUACCUUCUCCUUUUUUUUGUUAGUGGUUCAAAAGUCGGUAGGUUUCUCAUCUAUCCUACUCUUUUCCAUUUCCAAAAGGAUAUGGGCAGAAUUUUUUUUCUCUUAUCACAAGCCGUAUGGUCUAUACGAUAUAUGUAGAAAUGAACACCUUUGAGCAAGGAAUCCCGUUUUAAUGAUUCCCAAUCCAUAUUAUUGCUCAUACUGAAACUUACAAAGUCUUCUUUUUGAUGAUUCAGAAAUGAAAUUCCCUCCAAGACUUUUAAUCCCUGUUUAUUUUUUAAUUGACAUAGACCCAAGUCAUCUAGUAAGAUGAGAACGGUGUGUCGGAAAUGGUCGGGAUAGCUCAGCUGGUAGAGCAGAGGACUGAAAAUCCUCGUGUCACCAGUUCAAAUCUGGUUCUGGCAUAUGAUUAAUAUCUAUGAGUAUCUAUCACUACAAAUUCAGUGAUAUGCUCGCCAUACAUAUUCAUUUAUAGAUCAUGAUACAUACAUACUUAUCCAUCUAGCUCGAUGUCUGGGAAUAGGCCUUUUUUUCUUUUAUUUUUUUUUAUUUUAUUUCUUCCUUCCCUCUCUGUGACCGCUAGAGCCCGUCGAAGUGGUGUGCGCGAUACAAAGUUCAUGAUACAGAACUCUUUAAUUUCUUUAUCCCAUUCACAAUAAUAAUACGAAUGAGACUUCAAUUCCUCCGUUUGAUCUAGAGAAAGAACGUACAAAUAUUCUUGAAUAUUGGGUCAAAAUGAAGAUUAAUUUCUUAGAAUUCAAUAAGCAUCUUGUAUUUCAUAAAAAUUGGGGGCAAUAUAAUCCUUACGUAAGGGCCACCCUAUCCAACUUUCAGGCAUUAAGAUACGUUUCAGUCGUGGAUGAUUAUCAUAAGGAUUCCCAGCAUAUCAUAAGAUUCCCGUUCUUGAAAAUUCGCACUUUUCCAAACCAGAAACCGAUGGAAUUUUAGGAUUACUCUUGGAGCAAAUACUUUUAUGCAUACCUCUUCUGGUUGAUCUACACAUACUCUAUUCGCGUAAGAUGAUACACCUGGCUAACAGUCCGCCGGUGCUACAUCAUAGGCACAUUGGACCGUAGAUAAUUGUAGCCAUAUAUAUACAAAAUGACAGCAACGGAGUGCCAAUCCUCGGCUUUAUUUGUAAAGUUUUAUUCCUUGGUAAUCAAGCCCAAAGAUCUAUGAACUAGCCCAUGCUUGACCAGCAAGCAGACAAACGACCCUGCAUCUUUUUUAUCUCUCCCACAUUUUGAUUUCGAUAAAUAUUUCACAUUUACGAUGAAUUUUUGGAAUUUAUGAAGAUUAAUUCGCUCUUUCUUAUUCUGUACAAAUGAAUCUCCUGCCUAAUUAAUGAAUUCGGGGAAGAUACUGAACUUUUGUAUUUGAAAAGGUUUCAGGCGGGAUUUCUGACGUAGAUGGUGGUUGAUAAAGUAAUCCUUGAUCAUAAUUUCCAGUAUUAGUACUGCAUACAACACGAAACUUGUGAUUGGUAGUAAAAGUAAACGAGCGAUUCUCCCGUUGCAAUCGAUUCGAUCUUCAUAGAUUUCUCGAGAUAUUUCUUACGAAGUUUUGUUAUGGCAUCUAUAACGGCCUCUGGUUUAGGCGGGCAACCGGCAAAUAACAUCCACGGGAAUUAGCUUAUCAACUCCUCGAACAGUACUAUACGAAUCGGUACUGAACAUCCCCCUGUAAUUGUACAUGCUCCCAUAGCAAUAACAUAUUUUGGUUCAGGCAUUUGUUCAUAUAAUCUCACUAAAGAAGGAGCCAUUUUCAUUGUUACUGUACCAGCUGUUAAAAUUAGGUCCGCCUGUCUAGGGCUCGAUCUUGGUACCAGCCCAUAACGGUCAAAAUCGAACCGCGAGCCGAUUAAUGAAGCAAUUCAAUGAAACAACAACUGGUACCAUAAAGAAGCGGCCAUAAGCUGGAGAGUCUUGACCAAUUUGAAAGAUCGUUUGAUGUAGUUGAAAUAAAUGAAUUUGGGGUUGUUCGAUCAAGUAAGGAAAAUUCAAUAGAAUUCAUAAUUCUCUCAAUGUUAUUUUUUGUUUUUUUUUUUUUUUUUUUUUACUUUUUUGUUAUUGUCUGAAUAUUCAGAAACUAAGACCACUCUAAUGCCCUUUUCGCCACGCAUAAACUAAACCAACAAUUAGGAUAAGCAUGAAAAUGAAAGCUUCUAUAAAUACGGGUACCCCCAAUACAUCAAAACUCAUUGCCCAUGGAUAAAGAAAAACGGUUUCAACAUCAAAAACAACAAAAACUAGAGCAAACAUAUAAUACCGGAUUCGAAUUGUAACCAAGCAUCGCCCAUUGGUUCGAUACCCGAUUCAUAACUAGAAAGUUUCUCUGGCCCUUUGUUAAUCGGGGCUAAAACUGCGGAAAUUAGAAAUGCCAAAAUAGGAAUAACGCUUGAUAUUAUUAGAAAUGCCCAGAAAAUAUCAUAUUUGUAAAGCAGAAACAUAGCCAAACUCCUAUGAAUGUGGAAAAUAGACCAAAUUUGUCGAUGCAAAUUGGAAUUCAUUGUCAAGUCAUCGAUAAUUGGUUAAUCAAAACAACAAUUCAUUUUGAUCGAACCGCAAAGUUUCGUUUGUUUGUUGUGAUGUCUCGUUUUAAGAUUUAUCGAUUGGAAUCCUAUUUUCAUUACACUUCCUUCGAUUUUAUUUCAAUAUAGUAUAAAUCUCUUAUACAAACAAAACAAACAAAACCCUUUUGCGUUCACCGCGCUUCGGACUUGUCUAAAUCAAAGGAAGUCAAAAGAAAAUUCGAAUUUUUGUUUCGAAUUUCGAAUUCGAAUCUUCGAAAUUCAAUCGAUUUUGAUUCUAUUCUCAAUAUAUAGAAUAUUUUCUGUUUCUGAAUUAUGUUUAUGAAAAGCUAUUCGUUUUUCAAACGCUGAGGUGUCAACAAAUACCGUAAUCCGUUCCUAUAUCCAUGCGACUUACUAUUCCAUUUGAGUUGGGUUACGUCGGCGUCUCCCCGGAUUCGUGUCAUGAUUUUGACUCCGCAAAUUCACCAAAAGUAGGUGAGUAUACCAAAGAAAGGAAGUAUCAAUAACUCUUGAUUGUGAUGGGAACAGGAAAAGAGGCAAAUCCAUAUGGAAUUCCCAUACGAAGAUUAUUAUUAUUAAUUAUUGAAGAAAGAAAAAUGGGUUUGUUUAGCCGAAUCCGAGAUUCUAAAAAAAAAAUAGCGAUUAAAUCCAUUGAAAUGCGCUUUAGUUUUCAUUUCAGUUUGAUGUUCUGCUCGGAACGCUCCCUCCGAGCGAGCUUUUGGGAAUGAUUUGAUUUCGAUGAACCACAAGCAACCCCCAGCGACCAGUUACAAACAACAAAAAUACAAUGAAUGAGGAAAUGAAAACUAUACAAUUUUUGUGUUUCUGUAUUUCCAUUUUGAUUAUUAUUAUUUGAGAUUAGUAUAGGGCUAUACGGACUCGAACCGUAGACCUUCUCGGUAAAACAGAUCGAACUAAUUCUUAUCAAAAUGAUUCGAACUCUUUCAAAGACCCAACAUGCAUUUUUUUUUUUUGCAUUGGGCUCUUUCAUUAACUGAUAGAAAUAUCAGUUAGUCUACCAUAUUUUUUCUUGACAGACAACUAAGGAAAUGGCUCCAUGUGCUCUAAUUCAUUAUUUGGAUUCGGAUAUAGGAGCACUCCCAAAGUGUUUCAAAGAAGGGUUAUCUUGACGUAGGUCUGCUUAUGGCCUAGAUCAACCUAAACGAAAUGGAGUCUCUAUCAUCCUGAUAAAGAAUCACAUAUGAAACUUCAUACGCCUUAAGGUUCAUAGAACGAAAAGAGAAUUUUUGAGGUCCUUAUACUCAUUAUGCCUAGCAUUGAAUAGACUAGGUAUUUACCUUAUCAAUCUCUCAAAUCGAUGAUGGAUUCUAUUUGGUUCCUAAAAGGGCACCCGAAUCGGACCGAUCCAUUUGUCAGGCUAUUGUUCUCUUGUUUUGUUCCCUACAAGCCACGGAGUCAGACAUUAAUUUCUCAAAAAGAUCAAUUCUUUUGAUUGCAUGAUGGACUCCUCUGAAAAACAUUGGCGCACGUGUAAACGAGGUGCUCUACCUAACUGAGCUAUAGCCCUUGUCCUUGUGAUACAUAUUUUAUCAUAUUAUGUAGAUAAUUUCUUGUCAAGAUGAAUAUUCCAUGAUCCACACCAUAUCUCUUUGAUCUUUUGGAUUGGUAUUGCUUAGAAGUCCUAUUAGAUUUAUACUCCAUCGAUGGGAUGUGAUGGGUCUCUUUUUGUUUUUUGUUAUAAUNNNNNUUAAUUAAUUAANNNNNCCUUUUUUACUUUUCAUGAUAGAUUGGCUAAACUACGAAAAAAGAAAAAGAAAUCGCAUUGAAAUCGAUUUUUAUUGACCAAUCAGAAAUGUCUCCCAGGAUCUAUAAUUGUCUCAAAAAGUCCAAUAUACAUACAUUAUUCGACCUUUUGAAUACGCGUCAAGAAGACCUUAUGAAAAUUGAACACUUUCGCAUAGAGGAUGUAAAGCAGAUAAUGAGUAUUCUAGAAAAGAAAUAGAAAAGCAUUUCACAAUUGAUUUACCGAAAAAAAAAAAAACGAGAAAAUUGAAAUGGCUUUGCACCUUUAGACCCGUCUAUAUAUUCAGACCGGAAUUAAAUUGAAUAGAAGUAUCUAGGGAGAAUUCACUUUUACUUUGAAGUGACUACUCCCUAGAUACACACGUCAUGAUAUUUUACAAUUGAAUCAAUUUAAAAAAGACCUAAAGUUAGGGAUUUUCAAUAGGUAAUGUUGCUCCAAUACCAAGCACAAGGCCACUGCGGUCCCAAUCAAAAAGACGGUUGUCGCUACGGGACGGCGAAAUGGAUUUUGGAAUUUAUUAACAUUUUCCAAAAAAGGUACUGUUAAUAAUCCCGUAGGUACUGAAACCAUUAAAAGAACACCCAACAGCUUAUUGGGUACUGUACGAAGUAUUUGAAAUACGGGAAAGAAAUACCAUUCGGGUAAGAUUUCCAAAGGAGUUGCAAAUGGAUCCGCGGGUUCACCAAUCAUUGAUGGUUCUAGAACCGCUAAGCCUACGGUACAUGCAAUAGUACCUAGAAUUACUACUGGAAAAAUAUAUAAAAGAUCGUUGGGCCAUGCGGGUUCUCCAUAAUAAUUAUGACCCAUACCCUUAGCCAACUUAGCCCUUAAUACAGGAUCAUUCAAGUCAGGUUUUUUGUUGGGAUAGGCGAAUUCUUAUAGAUCCAUCCCCCCAAUCAUGAUAAUUUUUCAUCAUCCGGCUCGAGCAAGAAUCAACCAAACUAAAAGGAUACAUAUAAAAAAAGAAAUAGAUAAAAAAAGAAAUAUAGAUUUUCGAAAAUCUAUAUUUACGCGCAUAUCGGGAUGAUUCUAUAUGUAAAAUUACCGGAUUCCGUUUUACGAAGUUUCAACUAUCAAUUGCAAGGAAUUCGGUUCUUACAGGUGUAUGCUCCAUACCCAAGUAGGCUUACAAAAUUGAUCAUGAUCAAGAGCUUUCUGGGUCGUCUCAGCCCUUGUGAUUCACCUUAUCCAAAAACAAAAAAAAAAAAGAUCGAGCUGAGAUUUUUCUUUUUCGCGUACAAAGGAUUUACUUGUUACUAAUAUAGUCUAGCCGCUGCUCUUCUUUAGACCCCUUGUUUCACUCCGAUAGUAUCAUAAAUCGGGAUCGGUGCAGAAGAAAUGAAUGCAUUUCCAUACUAUUAAGUAAGUAAUCUAGAAUCUAGCGAAAACAUAAUCUAGAUUAUGCCACAUCGCUUAUUCUACUGGAUCUUACGGAGCCUGCUCAUGCGCGGCAUGCUUGGGGCUGAUCAUAGAAAAGAUUCUUUUCAAUCGAACCAACCUAUCCUCUCUAUGGGGUGCCGGUUGGAACAAAGACACAUUUGGUCGCGAAUUCCAAUGUAGCAGAUUAAAGACAUAUUUCUGCACGGCCCCAAUCAAUAGUUCAAGUCACACACUCCCAUAAUCCAUUUUCUCUUCGGAGAAUUCCCGUCAACUAUUCAUUUCAUUCAUGUCAAAUAAAAAGUCCAAUAUUAUGGAGUUGAGGGGAAAUUUCCAACUCCAUGUCUUAUUCUUUGUCAAUAAUCCAUAUUUGUAGCAAUGAAAUAUUAUUGUUCCUCCCCCAAGCAAUAAGAUAAAGGGUUGAUUACAAAUCGCUAUAAUCUAGAUUUUGUAUAAUUUUAUAAAGGGCCAGAAAUACCUUGUUUACGUAUCAUUAGGAAAUGCAUUAACAUAAAUACGGCAGUAAGAAGAGGUAAUACAAAAGUGUGUAAACUAUAAAACCGAGUCAAAGUGGACUGUCCCACACUAGCACUUCCGCGUAAUAACUCUACCAAAGGCGAUCCUAUUACCGGAAUUGCUUCGGGCACGCCUGUUACAAUUUUUACUGCCAAUAUCCAAUUUGGUCCCAAGGUAAAGAAAUAACCUGUUACAAACCAAAAGAUGCGGUCAAUACAGCCAGAACCACACCUGUAACCCAAGUCAAUUCGCGAGGUUUUUUUAAAACCCCCGGUGAGAUACACGCGAAAUACGUGCAGGAUUGUCAUUAGGACCAUCAUACUUGCCGACCAUCGAUGAACCGAUCGAAUUAACCACCCGAAGUUAACUUCCGUCAUUAUGUAUUGAACAGAGGCAAAAGCCUCAGUAACGGUCGGGCGGUAGUAAAAGUCAUAGCAAACCCUGUAGCUACUUGUACUAAAAAAACAAGUGAGCGUAAUUCCUCCCAGACAAUAAAAUAUGUUGACAUGAGGAGGAACGUAUUUACUAGUUAUAUCAUCUGCAAUCGCCUGAAUCUCGAGACGUUCUUCGAACCAAUCGUAGACUUUAUUGAGAUAGGUAAACCAAGAGAACUCCCCUCUGAGAACCGUAAUAUGAGAAUUUCAUCUCGUACGGCUCAAACAAAACCACCCCAAUACUGUAUGGAAUAGAAAAUUGGAAACUUCUUAAUUUUUUGAUUCAAUCUUAAUCUAAAAAUACGAAAGAAUAAAAAUAAGAAAGCUUUUCUUUGUGGUUAUAAUUAGAAUGCCAAAAAAUCAAGUCGACGCGCUUAUCUUUAUGUUGAUCGUUACAGGCCUCUUGAAUCUUCUAUUUACCUAUUUCAUUUUCUUUGAUUUGUUAUUUUGAGUUGUAUGUAAUGCAGCUUGACUUUUGUUUUCUUUAUUAUUGCUAGGAAUUUUCUUGUUAAGACCCUAUGAAUCAAUUGAAACCUCAGAUUCAUACUAGAACCACGAUGAUUCAAUAAAACCUUCAAACUAAGUCCAAAGAUUCCAUGAGUAAGAAUCCUUGGAUCAAUCAUUUAUUCAAAUUUGUGCUUUGAGUAAAAUAAAAGCAGAAAUGGGGAAUUUGAAAGAAGAAAAAUCUUGCAAUUGCAAAUUUUGUCUUUGGAAAAAUUUUUUGAAUCCGGCCAAGGGGUCUGAAUAUUAAGUAUGAAUCAUAGUUCGAAUACUUCGUGAUCUAUUUCAUAUAUUCCGUGCUCCAGAUACUCGAAUGAAUAUCCGACGGAGUAAAGCCAUCUCGAUCAAGACGACAGAUCUAUGCUCUGUACUAUCAAUAGGAUCAAUUCGAACAAGUCGCACACUCAUAUUCGGAAAUACAGAAAUAAAAAAUUCGCGGUCGAACUACCAAUCAACGAAAAUCAAAAUCCGAUACCUAAAUGCUUAUUUAAAAGGUAGUAUUUUGUGAUUCUUGUAAAUUUCAUUCUAAUUCAGUGAAAUUCCGUCCAGUAAAACGGACGAAUUAUAAAUCUCCAAAAUAAUAGAUAGGAAUACCGCAAAUAAAGCCAUUGCGACUCCCAUCAAAGGAGUAGUUCCCAUCCAGGAGCUACUUUACCAUAUUCCGAAUUCAAGGGUUUCAACAACCCCCCUGCAGAAGUUCUUUUUGGACGAGCUCUAGAACUACCCUCAACUGUUUGUGUAGCCAUAAAUCCUAUUUUGUAUUGAUUGAGAUCUGUUGACUUUGUAUACCAUUCCGUUGUAAAUAAACGAUCUUAUCAUGGAUUCCAGUGUGGUCUUGAAAUUCUAUAAUAAUGGAAACAGCAACCCUAGUCGCCAUCUCUAUAUCUGGGUUACUUGUAAGUUUUACUGGGUACGCCUUAUAUACUGCUUUUGGGCAACCCUCUCAACAACUAAGAGAUCCAUUCGAGGAACACGGGGACUAGUUGAAGUAGAAGUAAUGGGCCUCCAAUAUUGGGAGGCCCAUUACUUCAAUUGAGAUAAAAAAAAAUCAUUUUGUUUUUUUAGUUGGAACUUUAGGCGGUUCUCGAAAAAAGAUAGCGAAAAAAAUGAUCCCUAGAGUCGAGACUAAGAGGAAUGUAUAAACCAAUGCUUCCAUAAAUUCGAUCGUGGUUUCCAAUUAUAGCUUCCAUACCUGUUUAUUUGGGAUCAUCCCCCGGAUUAAAGAAAAAAAGAAUCAAAAAGGGCGGCGAUUUAAAUCCAUAUUUCUCCAGUACCUUAUACCUUAUUUUAAAUAAAAAGCACAAAUCGAAAAUAGAAGCAGAAGUGAGAAACUAAAAUAGUAGAGCAAUGCUGCAUCAGACUACUUGUCUUCUUGUAGUUGGAUCUCCAAGUUUUUGGAAUACUCCAAAUUCCACUUGAGCGUCCAAAUCCGGGUCAAUACCAGCAAAAACAUCUCUGAACAAGGUUCUAGCACAUGCCAAAUGUGUCCGAAGAAGAAAAGCAGAGCAAAUGAAGCGUGUCCAAACGUAAACCAGCCCCUUGGGCUGCUACGAAAAACACCAUCGGAUUUCAAAGUAGCACGAUCUAAUUCAAAAAUUUCACCCAAUUGAGCACGUCUAGCAUAUUUUUUCACAGUAGCAGGAUCACUAUAACUCACGCCAUUCAGCUCGCCACCAUAGAACUCAACGGUUACACCUACUUGUUCGACACUAUACUUCGAUUCUGCCCUUCGAAAAGGAACGUCGGCUCUAACAAUUCCAUCUCCGUCUACCAAAACAACUGGAAAUGUUUCAAAAAAAGUAGGCAUACGACGUACAAAAAGUUCACGCCCUUCUUUAUCUCUAAAUAUAGGGUGUCCUAACCACCCGACAGCUAUUCCAUCCCCGUUAUCCAUUGAACCCGCUCUGAAUAAUCCCCCUUUCGCAGGAUUAUUUCCGAUGUAAUCAUAAAAAGCUAAUUUUUCAGGAAUUUUAGACCAAGCUUCUGAUAAACUUUGAUUUUCGGCUAGUCCAGCACUGACUCUUCGAUAUAUUUCUUGCUGAAAGUAUCCCUGAUCCCAUUGAUAACGGGUGGGACCAAAUAAUUCGAUGGGGGUAGUUGCUGACCCAUACCACAUAGUUCCAGCAACAACAAACGCUGCAAAAAAGACAGCAGCGAUGCUGCUGGAAAGAACGGUUUCAAUAUUGCCCAUACGUAAUCCUUUGUAUAAGCGUUGUGGCGGGCGGACACUGAGAUGGAAUAAGCCUGCUAAUAUGCCCAAUGUCCCUGCCGCAAUAUGAUGAGAGGCUAUUCCUCCUGGAACAAAAGGAUCAAAACCUUCCACACCCCAUGCUGGAUUUACAGAUUGUACCUUUCCAGUUAGUCCAUACGGAUCAGACACCCAUAUUCCAGGACCAUACAAUCCUGUUACAUGAAAUGUCCCAAAACCAAAGCAAGCCACUCCUGAGAGAAAUAAAUGAAUUCCAAAGAUUUUAGGCAAAUCCAAAGAACGUUUUCCUGUACGGUCAUCAACAAAUAUUGCUAGAUCCCAAUACACCCAAUGCCAGAUAGCUGCCAAGAAGCACAAUCCGGAAAACACAAUAUGUGCCCCGCUACACCUUCGUAACUCCAAAUACCCGGAUUCGUUACUGUCCCCCUGUAAUACUCCAACCACCCCAUGAAUCGGUUAUUCCUAAACGAGUCAUGAAGGGUAUAACGAACAUGCCUUGUCUCCACAUUGGAUCAAGAACUGGAUCGGAGGGAUCAAAAACAGCUAAUUCAUAUAGAGCCAUUGAACCGGCCCAACCCGCAACCAGGGCUGUAUGCAUUAUAUGGACAGCAAUCAAACGACCGGGAUCAUUCAAUACGACGGUAUGAACACGAUACCAAGGCAAACCCAUGGGACUACCCCUUUAUUAAUAAAAAAUAGACACUAUGUAACUUUAUUGCAUUGAAAAAAACUAUGCUAUGUACCCCUUUUUUCAGGGGAUUAUCUCGAAAAAGGGAUUAAUAUUAAUAUUUGUUCUAUUCUUUUAGUAAUAAUGGAAGAGUUCGGUUCGUAGGAAAAAAGAGAAGCAGAUCUAUUCUAUACUCGAUAAGUACCAAUACGCAAUGGGGGUUGAUUCCCUUUUCUAUGAGCGAAUGUAUCCAUAUUUGGUCAUCAUUCAAAAGACUUAUUCGUAAUAAUUUUCCUUUAUUUUAUGAACUUCGUCAAUCUAUGUAUAAACUAAGAUAACGGCCACUAGUAUUAAGACAAGAAGCCCAUUAUUACGCUUCCACAUCAAAGUGAACUAGAGUACUUAAUUCUUUUUUCUUUCAUUUUAUGCCUAUUGGUGUUCCAAAAGUACCUUAUCGAAGUCCCGGGGACAAGCAUCCAUCUUGGGUUGACAUAUAGUGCGACUUGUCAGAUCUAUUGGGUCAUAUGGGAUUUCCCCGUUCUCUCCCCCGAUCGAGAUAUCCUCUGUUUCGCCCAAAAAAUUGAUUGAAUUAUCAAAAAUUUGUAGCGUGAAAUGCAAUGAAGUGCAAUUAGAUCUAUUUCGUGAGGAAGCAUCCAGAUUAAUAUUAGCAAUAAAUCAAUUUUAUGGUCGUCUUGGCUGGACCAAUAAAAUGAGGUAUCCAGGCUCCGUUUAGAAAAAACCCAAUUGGUAAUAUAUCUAUGAUUAUUACUUAUAUCAUAAACGAUUCCUUUAUUCGAAAAGCGAUCUCAAACGUUAAUCAACGGAAUGCUAAAUAUGAUGAAUAUGUCAAAUAUUUGGCGGAAGACAUGAAAGAAAUGAAUUAAAAAAGGGGUAAGUCAUAGCAAAAAAGAGACGUGGUAUUGGGGUCAUUUGUCUUAUAUGUGCAAAUCAAAAUCGGGCGAAUCCUUACUCGGAGUAGAGCCUAAACCUAAAAAAAUGGAAGAAGCCCAUUCAAUUCAGGAACAAGAAAAUGGCAUCGUGAUUUUUGGAUCGGAUCUCGAUGAAAAAAUACAUCAAUGAAAAGUUAGUUCGAUAAGUCGAUAAGUUUAGUGAAUUUCUUUUUUAUAUUAGAAUAUUAUAGGUCUAGGAAACCGGCUAAACUCAGCGUUCUUGAAAACCGGAAGAAAAGCCCCUCGAUAGAAGCGAGGAAAAAAGAAAGGAAAGGGGCUAGGAGCUACACAUUGAUUUGUUUUUCGCAAGUUUUGUUGAACCGUAUGCAUCAAAAGAUGCCUGUACGGCUCCGAAAGGAUACUGUUUUAUCCUAAUCAACCGACUUUAUCGAGAAAGAUUACUUUUUUUAGGUCAAAUGGUUGAGAGCGAUAUCUCGAAUCAACUUAUUGGUAUUAUGGUAUAUCUCAGUAUAGAGAACGAGACCAAGGAUUUGUAUUUAUUUAUCAACUCUCCUGGCGGAUGGGUAAUACCCGGGAUAGCAAUUUAUGAUACUAUGCAAUUUGUGCGACCCGAUGUACAGACAAUAUGCAUGGGAUUGGCCGCCUCCAUGGGGUCUUUUCUCCUGGCCGCCGGAGCAAGUACCAAACGUCUAGCAUUCCCUCACGCUUGGCGCCAAUGAGUUUUUUAUUUGAGAGAAAAAAGAAGACUAUGCCUUCGCCAUAUGAAUUCUUAAUAUUAAGUAAUAAUAGCAUGGCACUUCGAAUUCGAUAUGAAAAUUGUUAGUGUUUUUUUUUUUUUUCAAAAUAUUUGAUUAUGUAUCGAAGCAGUAGUAUGAGAUAAAGAAGGGGUAUUCCGAGUUUAUCUUACCUAUCGGAGGCCUAUUGCAGCGCCACACACCUUUUUCACGCCGAAAGGUUCUUAACAAUUAACAAUUAACAAGAUUUAUGGUAUGAAAGAGUACGAAAAUCAAAAAAGAAGAUUAUUUUUGAUUUAUUUCUUUUUUGAUUUUGAUUUGAAAAAAAAAAAAAAGAAACUUUGGGAUUGCUGAAUCACAAAAAAAAUAAAUAUAUAAAGCAACGGAGCCAUCAUAGUAUUUUUGAACUCCUCAAAAAAAAAGAAGGGUGGUAAUUGGAUCAUUUACCCAUCUGGGUAUAAUAGAACCCCCUUUUUAUCCUUGUUUGAUGAAGGGUAAAAAGCAAAUUCCAUUGGCGAGCCGUAUGCAAUGCGAAAAAGUGCCCGUACGGUUGUUCAAUUCUAUCUUUUUCUUUAUCUCUUCCCCUCGCCGAAUCGUGCGAGAUAGAGGAACCUUUUAUUAUGUUAUAAUAUAUCAUCAGGGUCAUGAUCCAUCAACCUAUUGGCGCUUUUUAUGGGGCACAAACGGGAGAAUUUAUCCUGGAUACGGAAGAACUACUGAGACUGCGCGAAAUCCUUACAAUGGUUUAUGUACAAAGAUCGGGCAAGCCCUUAUGGGUUGUAUCCGAAGACAUGGAAAGGGAUACUUUUAUGUCAGCAACAGAAGCCCAAGCUCAUGGACUUGUUGAUCUUGUAGCGGUUGGAUAAAACAUAGCAGUCACUUCUUAAGGGUUUAAUAUUCUAUUAAACAGAAGAAAUUCAUAAUCAUCCGGUUAGGAUCGAUCUAAACCAGCCCAUAAUGGAUAAUUCAGCAUGCCAACUAUUAAACAACUUAUUAGAAACCCAAGACAGCCAAUUAGAAAUGUUACCAAAUCCCCCGCUCUGCGGGGAUGUCCUCAGCGCCGAGGAACAUGUACAAGGGUGUAUGUGCGACUCGUUUCAAUCAUGGGCUGAGACAAACCAAAAGAAAGAAACCCUUUUUUAAGUAUCAAUGAUCAGUACCUGUGAAUCGGAUAGAAUAGAAGAAGAAGAACUCCAUUCACUAUCUAAAAAAAGAUCGAUCUAUCAUAUCUUUCUAUUGUGUAUGAAAUUUUAUGGUUUCCACUGGCGCAAAUUCCACCACCUCAAUUUGCAAUUAAUUUAAGGUGAGAAAGAAUUCCCCAUUGGUAACAAAUAGUUAUCCAUUAAGCGGGGGAAAUACUAUAAAAAAGCAGAAAGAUUAUCUUUCUACUCUUGCAAGAACGGACUAACAAGGUCAGCUACCCCACCAAUCUUCAUAAUUAAAUACCGUUACUGUAUAAGGUCUAUCUCGUUAUGAAAGACCUAUUACUAGAAAAUUCAUGGGUAGAGCCGAAGAGUGGUAACUGUACAAGUUACCAAUAGAAUUGAUUAAAUGAAGGAAGUGGCUCCGGUGUAUAGAGAGGGCCUCACCGUUUAAGAAGUAAUCAUAGAGACGACGGAACCCACAAUUUCUUUAUCUAUUUACUACUUUCGUUUUUUUUUUACUAUUUUCUUUCCAAUGCCUCGACAAAAGGUAAAAGCGUGGUCGGGAAGGUUAGAGUAGCAAAAGCCAUUGGAAUUUUGAUUUUAUAAAUUGGAAGAGUCCGUUUUGUUAUUAAUAGACUAGGAAAGGGGAAAAGAAUAACUGAAAGAAAGGAAAUCAAUUAGUUAUUCAUCAAAGUUUCAUUUAUUCAAUGACCAGAAUUAGACGAGGAUAUAUAGCUCGGAGACGUAGAACAAAAAUGCGUUUAUUUGUAUCAAGCUUUCGCGGGGCUCAUUCACGACUUAGCCGAACAAUUACUCAACAGAAAAUAAGAGCUUUGGUUUCGGCUCAUCGCGAUAGAGAUAGGAAAAAAAGAGAUUUUCGUCGUUUGUGGAUCACCCGAAUAAAUGCAGUAAUUCGCGGAAAUCUGGUAUCCUAUAGUUAUAGUAGAUUAAUAUACAAUCUGUAUAAGGCGCAGUUGGUUCUUAAUCGUAAGAUACUUGCACAAAUAGCUAUAUCAAAUAGGAAUUGUCUUUAUAUGAUUUCCAAUGAGAUUAUAAAAUAAGGAAAUUGGAAGGAAUCCAUUAUAAUUUUUAAACGGAGUUCUCUGGAGAAUGAACUCCAGUAAGAGGAAGGUAGAGUAGAAAUAAUAUGAUAAAGUCGUCAAAAUGAGCGAACACGCUCAAUAAAAAAAAAGAUUGAUUUUAUUCUUCUUUCCCAAUUCUUUUUUUUUUUUUUUCUUACGGCACGGCUGCUUCACAGAUUUUUUGAACAAAACAUCCAUCUGUGUUUGAGUUCAGAUUGGAAUUUUUAUUUAAUUGAAGAGUAAGCCUAUUUUUUUCUGGUUCUAAGACCGGGAGGUCUAGCGGUCAACCCACUUCUUUCAAAUUGUUUCUCAUUAUUAAGAAAAGGUAACGAAGAUAAAAUACGAGCUUGUUUUAUAGCAAUAGUAAUUAAUCGUUGUUCUUUUAAGGUCAAUCUAUUCACCCGUCUAGAUAAUAUUUUUCCUUGUUCACUAAGAAAUCGACUAAUUAAAGUCAUGUUUCUAUAAUCAAUUCGAUCCCCCGAUUGGAUCGGGGCAAACGCCUACGAAAAGAUCGCUUGGAUUUAAGAAAGAGUCGCUUGGUUUUAUCCAUAAUUUGUUUAUUCCUUAUCCCUAAAAUCCCAUUUCGAUGAAAUCAAAAAAUGAUUUAUAGAAUCCAUUAUAGGAUUUGGUUUGUCUAGAUUUAUUUAUUUGUUUUUAUUAAAAUAUAUGAAAUAAUCUAGAUAUAUAUCUAGAUUAGUUUUUCAUGUCCCUUGGAAGGGUGACACAAAAGCACGCGGCUUGACUCUAUCUAUUUUUUUAUCUCCCCAUGAAGUGUAUGCUUGUAACAAUAGGGACAGAAUUUUCUCAAUUCCAAUCGACUGGGUGUAUUGUGUCGAUUCUUUUGAGUAAUAUAUCUGGAAAUACCCCUUGAUUCCUUAUUAACACCGUUUCGAACACAACUAGUACAUUCCAAAAUAACCCUUACUCGGACCUCUUUACCCUUGGCCAUGAACCUCCUUGGGGUUUUUGAUUCACCCAACUUUUCUAUUUUCCGACCCGCAACGAAUAAGAAGCACGGGACAAAAAAAUAGAAGUUGCUAACCACUCAAAAAAAACUUAUGAAAUAAAGAUUUUAUUGCAAUCAAUAUAGUAAAUAAAUAGGAAAUCAAAAUAAAAAAUAAUAAGUAAUACAAGAAUUUCUAACUAUAUUGCUAAAUCGCAGUCCAGUAUUUCAUUUAAGGAUCUUGUAGUGGAGGAUACUCUUACCCUAGCCAUAUUUCGAUUUCCGUUUUCUUUUACCUGUCUAUUUGCUUUUAACUGGAUAAUUAAUAAUUAAUUUAAUCGGAGCCUGAACCCGGGUUUCGCUGAGGUUGAAGCCACCUUUUUUCUUUCGCUUUCCUUCUUUCUAAUUGUAAAACAAAAAAACGAAAAGAGGGGAAAGAGAGAUUAGUCACAAAUAUUUGAUUCUAGCUCUAAUCUUCUUCACCCCGUUCCAGUUCAAUAACUAGAAUGAAAAAAAAGGAAAUGUCAAUGCGUCGGGGAAUAAACGGUUGAUUUCUAUCAAUAACCCUGCUAAAGACCCGAACCAUAGAGUACUUAGUACCGGUGCCACGGAAAGAUAUGUUUUUAGAUCUCGCAUUGAAAAUCCUCCUUCUUUUUUGUUUUUGUAUUCCCUAUUGGAAUAUAUUAUGGUAAGAGAUGUAUAUGUAGUUAAAGGCCCACUUGUAUUUGUGCGCGGAAUCCCUAAUUCAAAUUGAAAUGCGCAAUGAUUCGGUAUAUAAGAUUUGAUUUUCUUUUUUUUUUUCUUAAAACAGAAAAAGGGUCACUUUACACCUGCGAAUUCCCAAGAAAAAUAAUAAUUUAUUAUUAUUAUAUGGUAUAUGAUAUGAGACCAAAAACAAGAAAAGGCAAGAUCCAUUUUGCAUAUCACUAGAGGGAAUAAAAAAUAAGGAUGUGGAAAACAAGACAGGGAUUCUUUACAAUGAUAUUGUAGGCCAAUUGAAAGGGAUGUAGCGCAGCUUGGUAGCGCGUUUGUUUUGGGUACAAAAUGUCACGGGUUCAAAUCCUGUCAUCCCUACCAAUUACCGCUCAGAGCAGCAGUAACGCGAGAUCUUUUUUUUUUUUUUUUUUCGAUCGAUUUCAUUUUGACAUACAUAAAUUUCUAUUUUAUGAUAUAUGAUAGUAUACACAUACAAGAAUUGUUGGGGUAAAAAAAGAGAAUCUCCUUAUUUCCAGCCUUUUUCGUUGUGAUAAGAAAGCGCUCUUAGUUCAGUUCGGUAGAACGUGGGUCUCCAAAACCCAAUGUCGUAGGUUCAAAUCCUACAGAGCGUGAUUCCGCUCUUGUCGUCUUAGAUCUAAAACCAUACACACUGAACUGAAAUAAUUGAACAGCAAUCUGAAUUUGACCCUGACCUCCCCCUCGGAUUAAAUUAAAGAAGGGAGGGGUCAGUUAAAAAAAGAGAUGUUAAUUAAUCAAAGGUCCAACUGAUCACCACGUCUGUAUUGUAAAUAGGCGGUUACGAAUAAUCCAGCCAAAGUAAUAGGAAUUAGACCUAAGACGAUUCCAAAUAGAAAGACUUCAAUCAUUUGAAUUUUAUUUAUUUUUUUUUUUAUUUGAAAGGUUAAAAAGAGAGGUAAUAUCUAUUCCUAAAUAUUAAUCUGCCUUGCCUAGGAAUCUCAAUAACCAAUAAUUGGUAAUUAACGUGGUACGGUAAGGAACUAGACAAUAUGUGGAAUACCACAGAAGGGUUUCUUUUUAUGAAUUAUUCCUUCAAUUAAUUUCAAAUAAGUCCUAUCUUACUCAGACCAAUAAAUAGAGCCGAGGUUAUAGUUAAAGCCGCUAGUAGAAAACCAAAAUAACUAGUUAUAGUAGGCAUGACAGAGCUAAAGGAAAUAUGUUCUUUUUAUACAUAUGUUUAUAAAGCACUUCCCUAAGUUUCCACUUUUGGACGAUACGAAGAUAAGCAAAAAUGCUCUACCCAUUGAAAGAAUACCUUCAAUUGAAAGUUUUGAUUCUUCAAGUAUUCUAGAAGGUACUAACAAAAAUGAGUGGCAGGGAUAGAAAAAGAAACCAAUUCAUCGUCUUUUACAGCGACCCAUCCCACGAUUCCGAAUCAACAGAUUGAGUGGGCAACUCUUGAAUCAACUAAUAUUAAAAAAAUACUAAAAACUAUGCCAUGUAACUUUGAGGAAUCGCUUCUAUUUUGUAUUUUAAUUUUUUCUUUUUUAUUGUAUCAAAUACAUUUUCGACUAAAGAGUGACCACCUUAUAAUACUUUUUUCUUUACUUUAAUACUUUAAAUAACCUUUGCUUUACUUUUUUCUUUUUUAUUUCUUUUUGACUUUAUUUUAUUUACUUUAUAUUUUUAACUCAUUAGGUUCAGCGGUGGGUUCAUUCCCAUAAUAUUUCAAAUGAGAAGAAAAAAGGUAUCGCACAAUCAGAUCACUCAAAAAAGAAAAUUUUUAUUUCGGUUCAAUUCGAUUCUAAAACUAAGUAAGAACUCCUAUUAUCUUUUCCUUUAUAGAUUUUCUAUUUUGUCUUUCCAUAUUAUCUAUAAAGGAUAAAGCCCACGCGUUGUAGGUAGGUCAAGAAAGAACCCUUGGGUCUAAUACAACAACGCGGGCAUGACAAAUCUAGAUUAUUAGAAUUAUUUUAGGCAUUUUUCGCGUUCUGUUAUUUUUAUCGAAUCCUAUCUCCCGCCGUUACUUGUUUUUGGACAACUAACCAAUUCCUUGAAAAAAAAAAAAAAAAAAGGAGGAUAAUUACAACAAAAAAUUCUACAUCUACGAAAAGGAGAUUUGUAGAUCUCAUAUCGAAUUGAAAUGGGGAAAUAUGAUAAUCUUCAUCAUGAAUUAUUAGAAAACAAUCCGUAGGAUUCGCAUUUUACUUUAUUUUGAAUUUCGAGUCCGAAGACAAGCAUGGAAAUGGAGACAAAAGAACCCGCAGACUACAGAAAUUUUAGGAAUUUCUAUUGAAAUUUUCUAUUGAAUAGUACGAAUAGUACAUAGUUAUACAUCGACUAGCAAGAAGAAAAGAAGAAAGAAAUUUUCUAGCACUGCCUUUCGAUACCAAUUGAAAUUGCGUUGCUGUGUCAGAAGAAGGAUAGCUAUACUGAUUCGGUAUAUUCUAAAAAUACCCUCGGUACUAUAUUGACGAUCUCACAAAGAUUCAAAUUCAGUGAAUUUCCAUUUCAUUUACUGAUAUCUUUUACGGAAUCGAUCGCCCUUUGACUGUACAAGAAUAUGUGGAGCUCGGCAUGUCUGGAAGCACAGGAGAACGUUCUUUUGCUGAUAUUAUUACCAGUAUUCGAUACUGGGUCAUUCAUAGCAUUACUAUACCUUCCCUAUUCAUUGCGGGUUGGUUAUUCGUCAGCACGGGGUUAGCUUAUGAUGUGUUUGGAAGCCCCCGGCCAAACGAGUAUUUUACAGAGAGCCGGCAAGGAAUUCCAUUAAUAACCGGCCGUUUUGAUUCUUUGGAACAACUCAAUGAAUUUAGUAGAUCUUUUUAGGAGGACCCAAUGACCAUAGAUCGAACCUAUCCAAUUUUUACAGUGCGAUGGUUGGCUGUUCACGGACUAGCUGUACCUACCGUUUCUUUUUUGGGGUCAAUAUCAGCAAUGCAGUUCAUCCAACGCUAAACCUAAUCGGAAUUAGAGAGCUAUGACACAAUCAAACCCAAACGAACAAAAUGUUGAAUUGAACCGUACCAGUCUCUACUGGGGGUUAUUGCUCAUUUUUGUACUUGCUGUUUUAUUUUCCAAUUACUUCUUCAAUUAAGAGAAGAAAAGAGAAUAGUAUAAGAAUCCAAAAUAGUAGGAAUUCUCUUAUCCCAUUCGGAAGAAGCGCAUCUUAUAAUUAUCUAUGACUGUUUAUGUCUCUAGCGUGACCACUUGCAAAAAUGUGCAAAAAUGUGGAGGGAAGCGGGAUAAAUGGCCGAUACUACUGGAAGGAUUCCCCUUUGGAUAAUAGGAACUGUAACUGGUAUUCCUGUGAUCGGUUUAAUAGGCAUUUUCUUUUAUGGUUCAUAUUCCGGAUUAGGUUCGUCCUUGUAGUAAUCGAAUGAACUGCGUUAUAGACAUAAAAGCGUAAGAACUCAAGGUACCCUGUCGUUCCCGUGCUUUGUCUGAUUCGAGGGGUAGGGCCAGGGCCCCUUGAGUUCUUAAUAAACAUAAUAUUUUGGUUUGCUCGUAUAAAUGGAAAAAAUGGAUCGCUUUUUCCGAUGCUUCAAAAAAAUCCAUUUCAUUUUUUUCUGAUUUCUGAUGAUUUUUUUAUUAACUUGCUUAAUUGAUUCAGAACCGCUGUUCCCCGAGAGUCUCUAUCGAUACUUUCAAAGUUACAAAAAAGUAAACAAUCACUCAAUUUAUUUUUCCUGGAUCACAGAAUCAUAAUCCAUCUAUAUAUAGAUUUCAGUCGAGCAAAUAUCAUCCAAAUCCCUUCUAUAACUAGUAUAACUUUAUUCUAUUUAUUUUAGUGUCUCAUCAAUUCAAAUUGUUUUCUAAGUUCAUGGAAGAAGUGCCAUUUGUUCAAUGACUUCUAUUUCUUUUUUGUUUUACCAAUACUUAAUAGAAAUCCAAAAUAAAAAUCCAAAAAGAGUUCUGAUAAACCUGGAAAAAUUCGAAACUACGAAUAGGAAUCUUUGAUGAAUGGAAGUAAGAACCCUUAUUAUUUCGGCACCCGAAAGGGAUGUGGGAAAUUCCCUUUCGGGUGCCGAAGACGAGUACGACGAAUAAUCCCCUUUAGAAUCCCCUGUUCCCCUUCAUUUAUCCUUCCUUUUUUUUCUUUAUAUUCUAUAUUCUCCGCUUCCUUAUCUUAUGUUUAGCAUCUAGGUCUAGUCGAAUUUGAUUCUAGUCUAAUAGAAUCGAAAACUAUUGACACAUUCUAUGAUAUUUAAAUAUGGUAAUAGUGACAUUCUCCAGUUUGUAUUGAAAAAACAAAGAAGGGGGAAAGUUCAAUAGUCUUCUUCACAAUAUAUAUACUGUGCUUUAGGAAUGCAGUACAAGAAAUUCCCGACAUCCGGUAGAAACAGAAUCGAAAUAAGCAAAAGGCUUUUCGUAAGUUUUGUGCUCCUACAUAAUAUAAUUAGAAUUGCCAAGAAAAAUUUGAUUCUUUUUACAAACUUGAUGUUGAUAAAUCCGCGGAUCUAGAAAUUCAUUUCGGACAAUUGAACCUUCUCAAACUGUUUCUUUUUAAGAACCAAAAAUAUUUGUGCCAAAACAACAGAUGCCAAAAAGAACAAAAGGCCUUGGACACGUAAUGGAUCUUGAAGUACUAUUUCUGCAUCUGCCUGACCAAACCCGCCUACAUUAGGAUUACUUGUUAAUGGUUGAUCAAGUUUGAUAGAUUGGCCCUCUGAAACACGAAGUUCUGGUCCUGGGGGGAUAAUAUCAACCACUUCACGUCCAUUCGAUGCAUCCGUUAUGGUUAUUUCGUAUCCCCCUUUUUCUUUUCGUAUGAUUUUGCUUACUAUACCCGCAGAUGUAGCAUUAUAAACCGUAUUGUUACUUUUGUUCCCGUCGGGAUAAAUCUGACCCCUUCCCCUGUUCCCACCUACGUAUAUUGGAUAUUUUAAGAAGUAAGCAUCUUUAUUAGUCGCGGGGUUCGGGGAAAGAAUAGGAAAAGUUAUUUCACUAUAUUUCUGACCAGGAACUGGCCCUAUCACAAGAAUGUUUUUUUUAGUGGGUCGGUAGGUCUGAAAAGACAGCUUGCCUAUCUUUUCUUUCAUCUCGGGCGAAAUACGAUCGGGGGGGGCUAAUUCAAACCCCUCUGGUAAAAUAAGAACGGCCCCCACAUUCAAAGCCCCCUUUUUACCAUUAGCAAGAACUUGUUUUAGUUGCAUAUCAUAAGGAAUUCUAACAACUGCUUCAAAUACAGUAUCGGGGAGUACCGCCUGUGGAACCUCAAUAUCCACGGGCUUAUUAGCUAAAUGGCAAUUGGCGCAUACAAUACGACCAGUUGCUUCUCGUGGAUUUUCAAAACCCUGCUGCGCAAAAAUGGGAUAUGCAUUUGAAAUUGAUGCCCGAGUUAUUAUAUAUAUCAUGAGGGAUACGGAAAUGAAUCGAGUAAUCUCUCCCUUUAACGAAGAAAAGGUAUUUCUAAUUUGCAUGGUCCAAUCGUUGAUCCCGAAAAUUUCUACAAUAAAAUUUGGUAGGUCACUAAUAUAGUUCCCUAUCCGCGAUUUUGCUAUUUCCUGAAAUCAUUUUACUGGAAUAUAGGUAUAGGAUUCCUGGAAUCUGGGAGGGAUCCUCUGGAUGGGUAGAAAAAGUAAGGUAAGUACAGCUUUGAAUGCUUUGCUUAUGUACAAAAUAAGAAAUAUUCUAAUUGGAUCAUUGAAUCGCUUUUCACUCAGUCAUUGAAUGAUAAAUCACUACAAGUGACGGAGAUACACGAUUUAAAUAAGAAAAAAGCCAAUAUUUAAAAAAUGUAUCUAGAACGACUGGAAAAGUGGAAACAAGAACAGAUAGAAUAAUAUCAUUAUCAUUAUGAGCAAGCCCAAAGUCGUUGUAGACAUAGCCAAUCAGUAGUUCCCAACCGCGGGGUGAAUGGAAUCCGAUACAUAAAUCAGUUACGAAAAGAAUCGAAAAGGCUUUUAUUGUGUCGCUUAAAUUAUAUAGGAAUUCUUGAACCCAAGAGUUAAGAAUAAAAAGUUCUUCAUUACACAAAAUAGAAUAACCACUUAGAAUAACGAAGCAGAUUGUAUUUGUCGAAAAGUGAAAAAUCGUAUGGAUAUGAUCCUCAUCGUGCAUCUUGAUUAAUUGGAUUGUUUCUUUCUGGAGCCCUAUACGAAGCUUUUCUAGACGUCUUUCCGGAAAUUCCUUUAUCAUUUCGUCCAAGAGAAAUAAUUCCUCUAAUUCUAUGAAUUUUUCUAGAAUAGCCUUUUCUUGAAUAUCAUUCAAAAAGGUUUCGGAUUGACUAGUAUUCCACCAAUUAGUAACCCAGGAUUCCAGACUUUUAUUAAAUGAGAGAGGGAUCCACCAGGGCAAAAAUACUACAAAUACUAUAGAUGAAAGAUAUCUAAGGGGAAUGGAUGCGUUCUUUUUUGUCAUUUUUUCAUCUGUGAAUUGUUAAUGAACCCACCUCAUUUGUUGAUUCUAUGCGUCUAAUAUUUCUAUCAAGCAUGAGUUCGAUUACAAGGUAUCGCGCCUAUAAAUCGAGUCUUUUUUUUUUUUAGUUGGGAUUCGGCGGUUAGUCCUUGAACCGAGUGUAGCAAACCUACAGAAAUCGAAGAAGAAUCCACCGCGAAUUCUCGCUUCAAAUUCAAAUUUGAAUUUGAAGCAAGAAAUAAUAAAAAAAAAUCGGGUUUCCGGAUAUCUCAAUUGAUCAAAUAUUCGAAGUGAUUCCCCCCUUCGAUGAAUGCCCGAAAGAUUCAAAUUCAAAAAAUAAAUAUUAGUCGCAUUUCGAAAUGAAAGAACUUACCUUCUAUUAAAAAUGAAACUUUCGAAUAUUUCGCAAAAAAAAAUUAGCGGGCUCCCCAGCCCCGUCCCCGAGCAUAGUCCAAGGAAUAUUUGAGAGAAUUUUCUGAAGAAUAUUGUGAUGAUCAAAAAUGAGUGAAAAAAAAAAGACGGAAAAGUCCUCAUUUUAUGAGAUCCAAUUCUUUGGUCAGUAGUAAAGACAAAAGAAAGUAUAAAAGAAAAGGGUUUCGUUUUAGAUUAUGGCUGUUCCGUACACGUUUGCUUUGGUCCAACAGGUCGUUCGGAAGAAACUUCAAUCAAGUCCGUUUUGCUAAAGAAAAAUGGAUUCGUGGGGGUUUCCUCCUGCUAAGAAAGCGUUUAUUCUUCAGUUCAUUUUUCAAAAUCCUUCAAUUGGUACACGCAAGAAAUAGGCCAAUUCCGCAGCCUUUUGCUCAAUUUCUCGCGGAGUCAAAUUCUCAUCAGUACGAUUCAAGGGAAUGGCCCCCAAGCCUCUGCUUUCUAUAUAAAGGACACGACGAGCAUAAAUACCCUCUUUAACUUCUAUUCUGAUGGACUGAAUAUCUUUCAUAAGGAAUCGUAGAAAGAUGCGGCGAUUUUUUCCAGGAAAUCCCCAACGAAAAAUACACACUAUUCCCUCUUUUGUAUCAAAUCGAUCAUAACCGCUACCUACAUUCCAUAUAAUUGUGCACCACAAAUAGGAACUAAUAAAGAGACCCGCGAUCCCGUAGAAAGACAUCACGAUCCCUUGUGGAAAAAAAUUGAUUUGCUGCGACGGAAAUAAAGAUAGCAAAUUCCUAUCAAGAUAACUAGAAAUUCCAACCACUAAGAAUCCUAAUGAGCCUAAAAAAAGGAUAAAGGCCCAGAAGAAAUUGCCUGGUUUGCGAGAGCCCGCUAUAAAUUCUACCCAUAUAUAUUCUGAUCGCCAACUCAUACAUACUAGCUCCAGUUGCAUUUUAUUGGAAUUGGGGAAAUAACCAAAACCAAAUCCAUUUUAGUUUACUUUUUGUAUUUCCGAAGUAACUCUCAUCAACUAGUACUAUUUGGACGUGAGCUCUUAGCAAUAAUUCAUCGAAUUGGUGAGGUAGAAUAAAAUAAGAGUAUCCCCUUCAUAUAAGUCCCUGUAGAUUGGUACCAUUGACUUUCAUUGCAGACAUGAGUUCGGAUCACAGCCUCUUGUUCAAAAUAGAUAGAAUUUAUGUACCUAUAUAUCAUGUUUACACAUGCAUAAGAGCUCUUCGUUUAUGUUCGGGGAAAGCCGCCUCUUAGUCUUAUACACUAUUCUACUAAAUGGAUAUCCGUCAUCGCUAAGUCUUGAAAAAAACUAGACGAGAUUUGACCUUGAUCCGAUCGGAUUUACAAAAUCUUAUUUUUUUCAAGAUAAAGAAAUAACGAAGCCAUUGCCAUUGCCGGAAAUACUAGGCCCACUAAAGGCACAAAAAUAGAGGGAAAGCUGUUGAGAAUUGUCAUAGAAAGGGUACCUCGAUUUAAUAUUUGUACCUGUUAUUGGUAUAAGGAUAUCCUAUAAUAAUUAGAAUUCAUAUUCUAAUUAUUAUCAUAUUCUAAUUCGUAUAUAAAUGUAUAUUAAGUAUACUUAUAUAAUUGUAUAUAAGUAUACUAAGUAUACUAAAUGAGUAUAUAUACUAAGCGCAAGGAAUGUAGAACUAAAUAAACGGGCCUAUGCAUCUUUCUACAUGAAAUAUAUGUAUGAUAAUCCAUUAUUAUUACUUAUUUUUAUUCUUCUCUUGUUUUUAGCUUCGGAUUUCUUUUUUAAUAUCUAAUUUUGUUAAUACAAAAUUAGAUAUUAAAAAAGAAAAGAAUUUCUUACAAAUUCCCUAGGGAUUCGUUAGAAUGCGAUCCAACAGCAGAGAUUCCUAGGAAAAUAGUCCUUGUUAGGAGAUAUAGAAAGACGCAAGAGUUUCGAUUUUCUCUAUUUGAAUUCGAUACAUACGCAAGAGGGGAACAUGAAAUUCAUUUUAUUUGCCCGGCCCCUAAUUAAUUCUAAGGAAGAAUGCUUUUUGAUCUUGUUUUAUUGAGAGAGGUUUACUGAUUACUAAUCCGUCAUAUCGGUAAAAUAAUUAUCCGCACGAUUCUUUCUACAAUGAAAUUUUAUGUCACCAAAGAAAAAUCCAUUCUUCGGAUUUGAUUUUAUUUUGAUUCGGAUAAACUAACUAACUAAUUGUUCGCCACAAAAAAAAGUUCACUUAAGAACUCUGCUGGAGUUAAUUUUGAUUCAAAGGAAAACGGCCGUGGAACAGAAAUAACUCGCUCAGAACACCUUUUAAAGGAUUACGUGGUACGAAUUGGAUCGAAUAAGCCCUUAUCGAAUAAAAUAUUCAGCCUCUUGUGAACCUUUCAGGUACUGUCUUAUUCAAUGUUUGUUCAAUUACUCUUUUACCUGCAAAUGCAAUAUAGGCAUUAGGUUCAGCAAUAAUGAUAUCCCCAACAUAAAAAAAAUUAUAAAAAUAAAGAAAUAAAAAUAAUUAUUAGAAAUAAAAAAAAGAAAUAUAGCAUGCAUCAAACUCAAACCUCUUGCAUGCGUGAGAAAAAUAGAAGAAAAAAAAAUACACAUAUCGAUAACUAACAUGGAAUAUCAGUUAUGGGGGGUAGUUGGGAUCCGUAGUAGCGAGAAAAAUAACCCGUUUGAUCGAGUAUGCUGCAAUAAAUUUUUACCUCUUCUUCUAGUGUGUGCUUCUGGGGAGCACGCAUGCAAGAAGGAAGUUUGAGUUUGAUGCAAAUGGCUAAAAUAUCUUCUGCUUUAUAUGAUUAUCAAUCAAAUAAAAAGUUAUUCUAUGUAUCAAUUCUUACAUCCCCUACUACGGGUGGAGUGACAGCUAGUUUUGGUAUGUUGGGGAUAUCAUUAUUGCUGAACCUAAUGCCUAUAUUGCAUUUGCAGGUAAAAGAGUAAUUGAACAAACAUUGAAUAAGACAGUACCUGAAGGUUCACAAGAGGCUGAAUAUUUAUUCGAUAAGGGCUUAUUCGAUCCAAUCGUACCACGUAAUCCUUUAAAAGGUGUUCUGAGCGAGUUAUUUCUGUUCCACGGCCGUUUUCCUUUGAAUCAAAAUUAACUCCAGCAGAGUUCUUAAGUGAACUUUUUUUUUGUGGCGAACAAUUAGUUAGUUAGUUUAUCCGAAUCAAAAUAAAAUCAAAUCCGAAGAAUGGAUUUUUCUUUGGUGACAUAAAAUUUCAUUGUAGAAAGAAUCGUGCGGAUAAUUAUUUUACCGAUAUGACGGAUUAGUAAUCAGUAAACCUCUCUCAAUAAAACAAGAUCAAAAAGCAUUCUUCCUUAGAAUUAAUUAGGGGCCGGGCAAAUAAAAUGAAUUUCAUGUUCCCCUCUUGCGUAUGUAUCGAAUUCAAAUAGAGAAAAUCGAAACUCUUGCGUCUUUCUAUAUCUCCUAACAAGGACUAUUUUCCUAGGAAUCUCUGCUGUUGGAUCGCAUUCUAACGAAUCCCUAGGGAAUUUGUAAGAAAUUCUUUUCUUUUUUAAUAUCUAAUUUUGUAUUAACAAAAUUAGAUAUUAAAAAAGAAAUCCGAAGCUAAAAACAAGAGAAGAAUAAAAAUAAGUAAUAAUAAUGGAUUAUCAUACAUAUAUUUCAUGUAGAAAGAUGCAUAGGCCCGUUUAUUUAGUUCUACAUUCCUUGCGCUUAGUAUAUAUACUCAUUUAGUAUACUUAGUAUACUUAUAUACAAUUAUAUAAGUAUACUUAAUAUACAUUUAUAUACGAAUUAGAAUAUGAUAAUAAUUAGAAUAUGAAUUCUAAUUAUUAUAGGAUAUCCUUAUACCAAUAACAGGUACAAAUAUUAAAUCGAGGUACCCUUUCUAUGACAAUUCUCAACAGCUUUCCUCUAUUUUUGUGCCUUUAGUGGGCCUAGUAUUUCCGGCAAUGGCAAUGGCUUCGUUAUUUCUUUAUCUUGAAAAAAAUAAGAUUUUGUAAAUCCGAUCGGAUCAAGGUCAAAUCUCGUCUAGUUUUUUUCAAGACUUAGCGAUGACGGAUAUCCAUUUAGUAGAAUAGUGUAUAAGACUAAGAGGCGGCUUUCCCCGAACAUAAACGAAGAGCUCUUAUGCAUGUGUAAACAUGAUAUAUAGGUACAUAAAAUUCUAUCUAUUUUGAACAAGAGGCUGUGAUCCGAACUCAUGUCUGCAAUGAAAGUCAAUGGUACCAAUCUACAGGGACUUAUAUGAAGGGGAUACUCUUAUUUUAUUCUACCUCACCAAUUCGAUGAAUUAUUGCUAAGAGCUCACGUCCAAAUAGUACUAGUUGAUGAGAGUUACUUCGGAAAUACAAAAAGUAAACUAAAAUGGAUUUGGUUUUGGUUAUUUCCCCAAUUCCAAUAAAAUGCAACUGGAGCUAGUAUGUAUGAGUUGGCGAUCAGAAUAUAUAUGGGUAGAAUUUAUAGCGGGCUCUCGCAAACCAGGCAAUUUCUUCUGGGCCUUUAUCCUUUUUUUAGGCUCAUUAGGAUUCUUAGUGGUUGGAAUUUCUAGUUAUCUUGAUAGGAAUUUGCUAUCUUUAUUUCCGUCGCAGCAAAUCAAUUUUUUUCCACAAGGGAUCGUGAUGUCUUUCUACGGGAUCGCGGUCUCUUUAUUAGUUCCUAUUUGUGGUGCACAAUUAUAUGGAAUGUAGGUAGCGGUUAUGAUCGAUUUGAUACAAAAGAGGGAAUAGUGUGUAUUUUUCGUUGGGGAUUCCUGGAAAAAAUCGCCGCAUCUUUCUACGAUUCCUUAUGAAAGAUAUUCAGUCCAUCAGAAUAGAAGUUAAAGAGGGUAUUUAUGCUCGUCGUGUCCUUUAUAUAGAAAGCAGAGGCUUGGGGGCCAUUCCCUUGAAUCGUACUGAUGAGAAUUUGACUCCGCGAGAAAUUGAGCAAAAGGCUGCGGAAUUGGCCUAUUUCUUGCGUGUACCAAUUGAAGGAUUUUGAAAAAUGAACUGAAGAAUAAACGCUUUCUUAGCAGGAGGAAACCCCCACGAAUCCAUUUUUCUUUAGCAAAACGGACUUGAUUGAAGUUUCUUCCGAACGACCUGUUGGACCAAAGCAAACGUGUACGGAACAGCCAUAAUCUAAAACGAAACCCUUUUCUUUUAUACUUUCUUUUGUCUUUACUACUGACCAAAGAAUUGGAUCUCAUAAAAUGAGGACUUUUCCGUCUUUUUUUUUUUCAACUCAUUUUUGAUCAUCACAAUAUUCUUCAGAAAAUUCUCUCAAAUAUUCCUUGGACUAUGCUCGGGGACGGGGCUGGGGAGCCCGCUAAUUUUUUUUUGCGAAAUAUUCGAAAGUUUCAUUUUUAAUAGAAGGUAAGUUCUUUCAUUUCGAAAUGCGACUAAUAUUUAUUUUUUGAAUUUGAAUCUUUCGGGCAUUCAUCGAAGGGGGGAAUCACUUCGAAUAUUUGAUCAAUUGAGAUAUCCGGAAACCCGAUUUUUUUUUUAUUAUUUCUUGCUUCAAAUUCAAAUUUGAAUUUGAAGCGAGAAUUCGCGGUGGAUUCUUCUUCGAUUUCUGUAGGUUUGCUACACUCGGUUCAAGGACUAACCGCCGAAUCCCAACUAAAAAAAAAAAGACUCGAUUUAUAGGCGCGAUACCUUGUAAUCGAACUCAUGCUUGAUAGAAAUAUUAGACGCAUAGAAUCAACAAAUGAGGUGGGUUCAUUAACAAUUCACAGAUGAAAAAAUGACAAAAAAGAACGCAUCCAUUCCCCUUAGAUAUCUUUCAUCUAUAGUAUUUGUAGUAUUUUUGCCCUGGUGGAUCCCUCUCUCAUUUAAUAAAAGUCUGGAAUCCUGGGUUACUAAUUGGUGGAAUACUAGUCAAUCCGAAACCUUUUUGAAUGAUAUUCAAGAAAAGGCUAUUCUAGAAAAAUUCAUAGAAUUAGAGGAAUUAUUUCUCUUGGACGAAAUGAUAAAGGAAUUUCCGGAAAGACGUCUAGAAAAGCUUCGUAUAGGGCUCCAGAAAGAAACAAUCCAAUUAAUCAAGAUGCACGAUGAGGAUCAUAUCCAUACGAUUUUUCACUUUUCGACAAAUACAAUCUGCUUCGUUAUUCUAAGUGGUUAUUCUAUUUUGUGUAAUGAAGAACUUUUUAUUCUUAACUCUUGGUUCAAGAAUUCCUAUAUAAUUUAAGCGACACAAUAAAAGCCUUUUCGAUUCUUUUCGUAACUGAUUUAUGUAUCGGAUUCCAUUCACCCCGCGGUUGGGAACUACUGAUUGGCUAUGUCUACAACGACUUUGGGCUUGCUCAUAAUGAUAAUGAUAUUAUUCUAUCUGUUCUUGUUUCCACUUUUCCAGUCGUUCUAGAUACAUUUUUAAAUAUUGGCUUUUUUCUUAUUUAAAUCGUGUAUCUCCGUCACUUGUAGUGAUUUAUCAUUCAAUGACUGAGUGAAAAGCGAUUCAAUGAUCCAAUUAGAAUAUUUCUUAUUUUGUACAUAAGCAAAGCAUUCAAAGCUGUACUUACCUUACUUUUUCUACCCAUCCAGAGGAUCCCUCCCAGAUUCCAGGAAUCCUAUACCUAUAUUCCAGUAAAAUGAUUUCAGGAAAUAGCAAAAUCGCGGAUAGGGAACUAUAUUAGUGACCUACCAAAUUUUAUUGUAGAAAUUUUCGGGAUCAACGAUUGGACCAUGCAAAUUAGAAAUACCUUUUCUUCGUUAAAGGGAGAGAUUACUCGAUUCAUUUCCGUAUCCCUCAUGAUAUAUAUAAUAACUCGGCAUCAAUUUCAAAUGCAUAUCCCAUUUUUGCGCAGCAGGGUUUUGAAAAUCCACGAGAAGCAACUGGUCGUAUUGUAUGCGCCAAUUGCCAUUUAGCUAAUAAGCCCGUGGAUAUUGAGGUUCCACAGGCGGUACUCCCCGAUACUGUAUUUGAAGCAGUUGUUAGAAUUCCUUAUGAUAUGCAACUAAAACAAGUUCUUGCUAAUGGUAAAAAGGGGGCUUUGAAUGUGGGGGCCGUUCUUAUUUUACCAGAGGGGUUUGAAUUAGCCCCCCCCGAUCGUAUUUCGCCCGAGAUGAAAGAAAAGAUAGGCAAGCUGUCUUUUCAGACCUACCGACCCACUAAAAAAAACAUUCUUGUGAUAGGGCCAGUUCCUGGUCAGAAAUAUAGUGAAAUAACUUUUCCUAUUCUUUCCCCGAACCCCGCGACUAAUAAAGAUGCUUACUUCUUAAAAUAUCCAAUAUACGUAGGUGGGAACAGGGGAAGGGGUCAGAUUAUCCGACGGGAACAAAAGUAACAAUACGGUUUAUAAUGCUACAUCUGCGGGUAUAGUAAGCAAAAUCAUACGAAAAGAAAAAGGGGAUACGAAAUAACCAUAACGGAUGCAUCGAAUGGACGUGAAGUGGUUGAUAUUAUCCCCCCAGGACCAGAACUUCGUGUUUCAGAGGGCCAAUCUAUCAAACUUGAUCAACCAUUAACAAGUAAUCCUAAUGUAGGCGGGUUUUGGUCAGGCAGAUGCAGAAAUAGUACUUCAAGAUCCAUUACGUGUCCAAGGCCUUUUGUUCUUUUUGGCAUCUGUUGUUUUGGCACAAAUAUUUUUGGUUCUUAAAAAAGAAACAGUUUGAGA